AUGACUUUGAUCAGCGUCUUCAUCUGCACACUGGCCCUCUGGACUCAAGGAUCCAGAGGUCAGGAGACUGUGACUCAGACUCCUUCAGUGCAAACUGUUGAUCCAGGAAACACAGUCACCUUCAACUGCAGAACCAGUUUAAUUGUGACUAAUGGUAUUGCUCUCGCCUGGUACCUGCAGAAACCUGGAGAAGCUCCUAAACUCCUGAUCUACAGGUCUACUAGCUUACAGUCAGGAACUCCAGCUCGUUUCAGUGGCAGUGGAUCUAAUACUGACUUCACUCUGACCAUCAGAGGAGUCCAGACUGAAGAUGCAGGAGAUUACUACUGUCAGGAUUCUUCAAAAACACUGCAACAUCAGCAGCAGCAUCAACAACCUGAGACCUACAACAACUACAGAAAGUCUGACCAGUCCUGCUCCUGA